GUCAGGACUGGGUCAAGCAGAAACCAAGGGCCAGGACACUCAAGCCUGGUUUCCCACAUGGGUAGUAGGGACCCAAGUACUUGGCCCAUCUUCUGCUGCCUUCCCAAGUGCAUUGGCAGGGAGCUGAAUCAGAAGCAGAGCAGCCAGAACUCAAAACCAGCCUUCUGAAAUGGGAUGCCAGCAUUGCAAUCAAUGGCUUAUCCCAUUGUGCCACAAUGCCGGCUCCUGUCAGCCACUUUCAGGCUCCCCAGGAGUUACAGGUCUGAAAGACAUCUGGGACCUUGAAAGGGUAAGUGGAAAGGGAAAGAGAUGGGUACAGGUAAGCAAUGGGAAAAUGCAGAAAAAGAAGAAGCUCUUUUUUCUUUUCUUUUUUUAAAUCUGACAGAGUUAUAGACGCCCAUAUGGGAUGCCAGCGCUGCAGGCGGAGGAUUAACCAAGUGAGCCACGGUGCCGGCCCCAAGAAGCUCUUUUUUCCACUAGCGUUUCUCAAGGAAAAUAUGUUUGAACUAUACCAGGCCAGCUCAAAAACAGCAUCAGGUUUUUGGAGACAAUCCCACCAAGGUCAAGCUGCCAUCGUCCCUGCUGUCAUCCUCAUGCACACACUUGCGUGGCAUUGGAGAGGCUCCACCCAGCUCUCCUGGGCUUCAGCCCAUGUCAUACCCUGAAGCAGUCUGGGAAGCAGGAAACUGACAUGCAGUAAGGUCAAAGGUUUGUAUGGAACAAAUGGAGGGCUUGAGCUUUGACACCCUGAGCUUUCUUCCAUGGUGGAGCAUUGUGCUAUGAGCAGGGCUCUGCACUAAGACUCCCUGGAUGUGAAUGCUGGCCCUGCCAUCCACCACCCAGGUAACCUUGGGCCAGUUACUUACCUCUCUUGUCUUGGUUUAUUCAUCUGCAAAAUGGAAAUAGAACAGCUGAGUCAGAGUCAUUGUAAUUGCAGAGUAAGUGAACACACAUAAAGUGCACAAACCAACGUGGAAAGCACUNNNNNNNNNNNNNNNNNNNNNNNNNNNNNNNNNNNNNNNNNNNNNNNNNNNNNNNNNNNNNNNNNNNNNNNNNNNNNNNNNNNNNNNNNNNNNNNNNNNNAAUGAGGGCUUGAUGUUCAUGUGGGAGGCAGACAGUAAGGGGACAGGAGCCAAAGCUCAGGUCGAUCUCCCUGAUCGGAAUCUGGGGUGGGUGUUGUGGUUUCGGGAAGAAGACAGGCUGGUAUGCCCUGAUAGGGUGAGUUCUGCCUGGGGGUGCUUCAGCACCGGCUCUUCCUGCUCAGUGGAGCCACCACCCCUGCUCCUGGUUCCCGUCAUGCUCUGGACUGCUCGGCUCUGUGGUGGUGAAACAUUGGUUAUUUAAGGUCAAGCGCCGCUUGCUCCUCCAGGCAUACCCAGGUUCUGUUGGCUAGAGGCCCAUCACCUGUGUUAAGAUCUUUGCCAACAAUUAAACAUGGCUCAAGUGCUUAGCCACACCUCCUCUCCCAAGUGUUUCCAGUCCAUGAGGAUUGAAGCUGGAGCUGCUUCAGAUCCAGGUGAAACCACACAGAGAAGAAUCUUAUUCAAAAUCUCAGCCUGGGAAUCCUUCAACCGCAUACAGUAUGCUCCAGACAUUCCGACCCAGGCACACUCUCUGGAACCCAGAGCACCCUGAGCAGAGCUCCAGCCAAGCUGGGAGAGCCCCCUCCGCCUUUUACUGACAGAGCAGGCCUGGUGUGAGCUGGUUCUGUGGUCACAGCCUUAGUGAGAGCAUAACACGCUGCCUCUCCCAUGUCUCUCCCGACCCGUGUCUCCCAGGGAGUGUUCGGCAUGAAAACUAGGGGACGUCUCAGAAAAGUCACAUGAUCGGGGCCAGAUUUAACAACAAGGGAAGAAGAAGUCUCAGCGGUAAUUCUGGGUACCAGUUUUCUUACGCUCUCUUUAAAACGCCACCCAGGCUAGAGUAGUACUGGUUUGGCAUUCAAGUGUUUAAGAACGCUGGUGAAGGUCUCCUGUGGACUGUUCAUGGGAACAACACACAGAUGGAAAAGCGUCCAUUACUGCCGGCUCUUAUCUCUGGCAGAGCUUGGAAGCUCUCUGCCUCCCUGGUCUCGUCAUUAGUCACGGAAUAAAAGGCAACAAUGGAUUAUAUUUCCA
ensembl:lncRNA